rnacentral:snoRNA from 11 species
GAAACAUGAUGAACCAAGAUUUCAUCUGUUCUGCAUCUGGAAACAAACUGACUUGAUUCACAGCUCCCAAACAAUGUGCAAACUGAAAC